rnacentral:rRNA from 1 species
UGGGGAAUAUUGGACAAUGGGGGAAACCCUGAUCCAGCAAUGCCGCGUGAGUGAAGAAGGCCUUAGGGUUGUAAAGCUCUUUCGCCCGCGAAGAUAAUGACGGUAGCGGGAGAAGAAGCCCCGGCUAACUCCGUGCCAGCAGCCGCGGUAAUACGGAGGGGGCUAGCGUUGUUCGGAAUUACUGGGCGUAAAGCGUACGUAGGCGGAUGCGCAAGUUGGGGGUGAAAUCCCGGGGCUUAACCUCGGAAUUGCCCUCAAAACUGCACGUCUUGAGACCGAGAGAGGUAAGGGGAAUUCCUAGUGUAGAGGUGAAAUUCGUAGAUAUUAGGAAGAACACCAGUGGCGAAGGCGCCUUACUGGCUCGGUACUGACGCUGAGGUACGAAAGCGUGGGGAGCAAAC